AUUGAACGCUGGCGGCAUGCCUUACACAUGCAAGUCGAACGGUAACGGGCCUUCGGGUGCCGACGAGUGGCGAACGGGGGAGUAAUACAUCGGAACGUGCCCGAUCGUGGGGGAUAACGAGGCGAAAGCUUUGCUAAUACCGCAUACGAUCUACGGCUGAAAGCAGGGGACCGCAAGGCCUUGCGCGGACGGAGCGGCCGAUGGCAGAUUAGGUAGUUGGUGGGAUAAAAGCUUACCAAGCCGACGAUCUGUAGCUGGUCUGAGAGGAUGAUCAGCCACACUGGGACUGAGACACGGCCCAGACUCCUACGGGAGGCAGCAGUGGGGAAUUUUGGACAAUGGGCGCAAGCCUGAUCCAGCCAUGCCGCGUGCAGGAUGAAGGCCUUCGGGUUGUAAACUGCUUUUGUACGGAACGAAAAGCCUUCUUUUAAUACAGGAGGGUCAUGACGGUACCGUAAGAAUAAGCACCGGCUAACUACGUG
rnacentral:rRNA from 1 species